AACAGUUGACCGAACUGACUUUCAUCUCUGGGGCAAAGAUUUGGAUAUUUGGUUAAAAAUUGCUCACUCAUGCAUGGUGGUGUAUCAGCAGGGAUGAAAUGAACCUAGAAGAGCUGGAGGUGCCACGAGGCAAUAAAGAGCGCCCAGUGGAUACCAACCUGAGACCUCACGGCCCAGAAGGACAAAAAAAGAUUUCGUGUAAGCAGAGAAUUUGAUCUUCACAGCUGAAGGAUUGAGCUUUACAACAUAGCACUCAGGCCACCAAAGGAGAUGAUGAUGAUAUUUAUUGAGCGCUCACUACAGGCCAGGCAUUGCUAAGUGGUCUGAUUUUUUCCUUCAAACAAAAGAUUAUUCUAUUGAUAUGCUGAAGCAAGAUCUGCAGGUGAGAGCUAAUGGGCUCAGCAGAUAUUAAGCCUGUUUUCUUUCUGUUUACUACCCACAACUCCUGCUGGUUUCAAGUGUUUGGAUUUUCAUUUGAAGCACACUACGAAAUGACACUGGUCUGGACAAUCUGAUCUUCCCAAAGUAUUGUGGUGGCA